UGUACCAAACACCAUUCCCAGCUCUUUGACUUCGAACAAACUCUCGCUAAUUAGGAUUCAGUAUGAAGUUCCUUCGGAGUACGAGCUUGAGCUUCUCGAGCUAACUGACUGGGCUAGCGCCCCUCCCCCUGGCUGCUUCUGCUUAUACUAGGAAGCUUUCUGCACUGGACUUCGACUUCCACUUCCACCUUUUGUUGUUUCUCUUUUUCACUUUUUAAAUAUUUCUCUAGUUUCUAUAGCAUCGAACUCCUUUAGAUUUCUGAUAGGAUUUCUUUUCCUCUAUC
rnacentral:lncRNA from 1 species